ensembl:lncRNA
UCUUUUAGCCCCUGUUUGUUUUAUAUUAUAUAUAUAUUGUUUUAAUAUUAUAUUUAAUAUUUACAUUGUAUUGCAAAAAAACCCCAAAAUAAGUUAAAAUGAAUUAAUGAAUACUGACUAAUUAAACCUUUGUUAUUUUUCCACCAGAAAUGGACGAUAUAAUUAGAAGUGUCCUGAAUGACGAAAAAAAAAGAACUGGAAAAGAUACACAACUUUGUGUGCAUGUGUCACAAUGCCAGGAGGACCCACUCAGUGUUGUGUUAGAAAAAUUGAACUCAUUAACCCUUCAUGGACAUUAUACAUGUUUAAAUGUGGCCUCAGGUAAAGACAGGAAAAGAGACUAUUACAAAUUCAACUGCAUCAGAGCUGGAAAAAAAAGUCGAAACAGCUACAGAGCAGUGGGCUGUAAGGCCUAUGUUUCAUUUAAAGUACUCAAAUGUUGGAAAGACCACACAGUCAUCGUGCAGCGUACAUAUGAUAAGCAUGAUGGGCAUGAUCCUUCGGACCCAAAAGACGCACAUUUCAACAAUAUUUCCAGUGAUUUGAGGAGGAAGAUUGAGGAACUGCUUUCCCUUGGAACUAAGCCAGCCAUCAUACUAACCGAAUGUCAUAAAUGGGCCAAAGAACAUGGACACAGAGAUCUUCACAACAGAGAGCAUUUUGUCACACCACAUGACAUUGACAGUGUUAGAACCUGCAUGAUGAGGAAGAAGCACUUUAACUGUAGAGACAGUCAAAGUGUACAUACCUUACUUAAUGGAAAACAUCAAGAACAUGUUCUCUCCUAUCAACCAUACACAUCUGACCAAGAACUAAUGAUUGUUUUGCAGACACCUGUAAUGAAAUCAAACAUGAAGAACUAUGCAAAACAGUUAGUAUUUGUUGACACCACGCAUUGUGUUAACCAGUAUUCAUUUCCCUUAUUCACACUUGUUGUAAGAGAUGAUCAUGGGCAUGGAGUCCCUGUGGCCUAUGCUAUUGUCAGCAACGAAAGUCAGAAAACCCUGGAAACUGUUCUUGGAAUAGUUUGUGAGCAUUUACCAACUUCCCCGAGAGCAUUUAUGGUUGACAAAGACUUUGCGGAAAUAAAUGCUUUGCAGAAGGUUUUUCCAGAGUCAGCUAUCCUUCUAUGCUGGUACCAUGUCUUGCAGGUAAACCACAUUGUUUUCUUUUCACGUUAUCUAAGAUGCACCUGAAACACAUUUGCCUCAUUGUGAUAUUCACCUACUCAGGUUAAUGAAUAUAAAGGGAUAAAAUGUUGAGUGACUAUGUCCAUCCAUUUAAGACCACUGUGCACUCAUCUUCUGGUGGCUGCUUCCCAAAGCUCUUUUUGACAUUUAAAAAUAUGUUUGCCUGG